rnacentral:lncRNA from 1 species
UAUACGUGAUCCUGAGAAAGUUUCGACGAAGGGUGCACCUAAGAAAGGCCGGUCAAAGGGUGGCCCUGACGUUACGAAAAAUGGUAGACCUAAAGAUUUUAGAGAGAAGAAAAGUGGUCCGUUGUGCAGUCUUUGUCAUUUUGCAGGUCAUAACAAGGCGACAUGUAGUCUAAACGAGAAGUAAGUUUUACAUUUUUAUUUCAAUUAUGUUGUGUGGUCGGUUUUACCAACUAUAUUUUAUCACAAGCGUUCUUUAUAUUUCUUUCAGGUACCGGGCGUAGAGAAGUGGCUUCGAUCGUGGGAAGAAGAAAACUGGUUGCACGAGUCAUGUUGGAAAUUGUUAUUUAUUUAUGUAAACAUGUGUCCGGCGCCAGAAAACUUAAUAAGUAUUUUGUUUAUGUUUCUCGAAAUAAUUAUGUGAACAUCUAUUGUAUGUACUGAAUUAUGAUUGUCAACAUAUUUAUGUGGACAUCUAUCCUAUGUAGUGAAUUAAUUGCCAUGAUUAC